ACAAUCAGUCCAAUUUGGACUUUUAACUGCAUUGUGUUAUGACCCCGUGCUGAAUAGACUUGUGGAUUGUGUUUGAAACUCGAUCUGGUACAGAUUCCAAACCAAACAAUAAAGAUAUUCGAAGCCAUUGUUACAGCUUUGGUAAUUGGAAGUUCAUUAAUCACUAAGCGGAUUUAUUUAAACUUUGAAAGAUUCCACACGAUUGUUGCAACUGCAGAAACCGGAUACAGAAGUUUCUGCAACAACUGAUGACUUGGCUAUAAAUACGAUCAACUCGCUUCGAUGCUUCACUUGCAAACUGAAAAUGAACAAGUUACUGCUUCUCGCUCUGGUGCUCGGACUUCUCUGUUUGAUUGAUGAAGGAGAGUCUUGGGGUCGUCGUCGUCGUCGUCGCUGGGUCCGUCGUCGUCGUUGCUGGCGCCGCCGUCGCUCCGGUGACAACGGUGUUGACGAGUCAACGGAAGUUGAGGAUGAAGAGAUUGAACCAGAAGAGAAACUAGAUUUCGACAACGAGUAAAUGAAUAUUUGUUUGCCACAGAAACAGAAGACGCAUCUUAAUACUGAGAGCUUAUAUCGAAACAUUGAUGCUUCAAUAAACUGGCAAAUAUAUAA